rnacentral:rRNA from 1 species
GGCAGGCUUAACACAUGCAAGUCGAGCGGUAGCAGAUCUAGCUUGCUAGAUGCUGACGAGCGGCGGACGGGUGAGUAACGCGUAGGAACCUGCCCAGUAGUGGGGGAUAGCCCGGGGAAACUCGGAUUAAUACCGCAUACGCUCUACGGAGGAAAAGAGGGCUUCGGGCUCUCGCUAUUGGAUGGGCCUGCGUGAGAUUAGCUAGUUGGUGAGGUAAUGGCUCACCAAGGCGACGAUCUCUAGCUGGUCUGAGAGGAUGAUCAGCCACACUGGGACUGAGACACGGCCCAGACUCCUACGGGAGGCAGCAGUGGGGAAUAUUGCACAAUGGGCGCAAGCCUGAUGCAGCCAUGCCGCGUGUGUGAAGAAGGCUUUCGGGUUGUAAAGCACUUUCAGUGGGGAGGAAGGCCUCGUAGCUAAUAGCUGCGAGGAUUGACGUUACCCACAGAAGAAGCACCGGCUAACUCCGUG